rnacentral:tRNA from 1 species
GGGGAUGUGGCUCAGUUGGUAGAGUGUGUGCCUCACAUGCACAAGGUCCUGAGUUCAACCCCAGCAUCACAC